rnacentral:lncRNA from 1 species
AAGAUGGCGGCUGGAGACUAGCGCUGGAGAGGGGGAGCCUUCCAUAUCCGGCCACUUCUCUCCACAGCCGCCAUUUUGGCAGAAGCCUAAGCCUUGCUCAUCCCUUACUUAGGCUACAUUUUCAAAAGUCAGAAAAAACUUUUUCCUGAAGAAGGGGUUUCUGAGACAAGUAGGUCAAAGAAAGGCCAGCGUGUGGGAGUGUGUGUGUGUGUGUGUGUGUGUGUGUGUGUCCUUGAGUAAAAUUGCAAGCCAAAGAGGAAGGCAGCAGUAUGUAUUCUCUGUAGGACCCCUAUUUGUGACCAAUUGUAAGAUCAUCUGAAGAUCGAGUCCGAUUGCCUGGCCAGGCCGGGCUGGGUGGUAUGUGCCCCCGUCACGCCGGAGGUUCCUGCUUUAGCGACGCCAAAGAUUGGGUGUGAGGGCAGCCCGCGGUGACAGAGACACGGAUCGGACCGAGAGAAAAAGGCUGUGGGCUUCACUGAGCAGAGUGACGAAGUAUUCAGGCCCUCAGGAGCGGUAACUAAAAUGGAGAAGCUGCGCUGAAAGGUGCCGUGGGCAAGUCAAAAUUAAAAUCAAUUCACAGGACCUCCACAGUGUGCCUUUUGCUGGGUAGGAAAAUGCCAGCCAGCUUGGAAAACAAGAAGACACAUUUAUGUCUACCAUGAGCAUUGGCAUCAGCCAAUUAUCCCACACGUUUUCGGCUAGUCAGUGCUGAAGAGAGCAAGAAUUUCAACCCUUCUUGCUACAUUCAAGACAUAGAAAUCCAGCCAGAAGACAACUCGAGAUAUUUUGUGGAUCUAUGCCUUUCCUUCAGAAAAGCAAAUAUCUACCAUAAAAAAACACUGGUCCAAUAUUCACUUCUAUAAGAAAUGCAGGGGCAAAUAAAUUAUGGAUUUUAUUAUCGCUAAUAGAGUCACUUAACCAUUACUCCUUACUACAUUCUGCUUUUCUAACAAAAUUUCGACUGAAUAUUCUCCCUCAGAGCCUCCAAAAGGAACCAACUGAUGACAACUGAUUUUGGACUUCUGGCCUCCUGAACUAUAACAAAAUAAACAUCUGUUGU